rnacentral:lncRNA from 1 species
UAUAAGUAGACUCUCAUAGUAAAGUGGAGGACCUUGAACAGAAUCCUGUCUUGGCUCCAUUAACCUCUCGCAGUCUCAGUCUCUUUCAGCCCCAGCCUGCCUCCCUGGUGUAUCCGGUCCUUGUAAGCUGCAGGCCAGCUUGCAACAGAUUGGCGCCCGGGCCAGGGACCAUGGGAACGGCGGGAAAACACUGAGGGAAUCACUGUCUUGUAUGGAGCUCCAAGGGAAGGAAAGAAUCAGAUCCUAUCUGGCACGGAGACAAUUCUACACGAGAUACGACUACAUGGAGUGUCUCCUACUCCCUCUGGACAUCAUGAAAAAGUCUUGUCUACAUACAGAACCCAUAAGCAGUCUAGACUCAUUUCCAAGGCAAGAGGGUUCAGAUGACCUCGGCACCCUGAGUAUACAUCCAUCCAAUAAACAAGCCUGCCAAGCCUGAGCCAGCUGUCUCCUUCCCCAGCUUUAAGAACACACAUGGUAUGCACUCCCUGAUAAGUGGAUACUAGCCCAGAAGCUCAGAAUACAAUUUGCAAAACACAUGAAACUCAAGAAGAACAAAGACCAAAGUGUGGAUACUUCUACCCUUCUUAGAAGGGGGAACAUAACACCCAUGGGAGGAGUUACAGAGACAAAGUAUGGAGAGGAGACUGAAGAAAUGACCAUCCAGAGAUUGCCCCACUUGGGGAUCCAUCCCAUAUACAAUCACCAAACCCAGAUGCUAUUGCAGAUGCCAACAAGUGCUUGCUGACAGGAGCCUGAUAUAGCUGUCUCCUGAGAGACUCUGCCAGUGCCUGACAAAUACAGAAGUGGAUGCUCACAGUUAUCCAUUGGACUGAGCAUAGAGUCUCCAAUGAAUGAGCUACAGAAAGGACUUAAGGAGCUGAAGGAGUUUGCAGACCCAUAGGAAGAACAACAAUAUGAACUAACCAGUACCCCCCAGAGCUCCCAGGGACUAAACCACCAACAAAAAAGCAUACAUGGUGGGUCUCACGGCUCCAGCUGCAUAUGUAGCAGAGGAUGGCCUAAUUAGUCACUAGUGGGAGGAGAGGCCCUUGGUCCUGUGAAGGCUCUAUGCCCAGUGUCGGGGAAUGCCAGGGCGAAGAAGCAGGAGUGGGUGGGUUGGUGAGCAGGGAGAGGGGGAAGGGACAGGGGGAGGGUGUUUUUAGGAGGGAAACCCAUGAACCAGGAUAACAUUUGAAAUGUAAAUAAAGAAACUAUCCAACAACAA